rnacentral:rRNA from 1 species
CCUACGGGUGGCAGCAGUGGGGGAUAUUGCACAAUGGGGGGAACCCUGAUGCAGCGACGCCGCGUGGGUGCAGAAGCGCCUCGGCGCGUAAAGCCCUUUCAGCAGGGAAGAAAAGUACGGUACCUGAAGAAGAAGCCCCGGCUAACUACGUGCCAGCAGCCGCGGUAAGACGGAGGGGGCAAGCGUUAUCCGGAUUUACUGGGUGUAAAGGGGGCGCAGACGGCGAUGCAAGCCAGGAGGGAACGCCCGGGGCCCCCCCCCGGGACUGCUCGUGGAACUGCGGGGCUGGAGGGCAGGCGGGGCAGGCGGACUUCCUGGUGUAGCGGUGAAAUGCGUAGAUAUCAGGAGGCACACCGGUGGCGAAGGCGUCCUGCUGGACUGCACCUGCCGUUGCGGCCC